GUUUAUUAGUCAUACAUGAUAAUGAAUUGCAAAUUCAUAGGUGAAAAAUUUUCAUAAACUUU
rnacentral:tRNA from 1 species